AUUGAACGCUGGCGGCAUGCCUUACACAUGCAAGUCGAACGGUAACAGGUCUUCGGAUGCUGACGAGUGGCGAACGGGUGAGUAAUACAUCGGAACGUGCCUAGUAGUGGGGGAUAACUACUCGAAAGAGUGGCUAAAACCGCAUGAGAUCUACGGAUGAAAGCAGGGGAUCGCAAGACCUUGUGCUACUAGAGCGGCCGAUGGCAGAUUAGGGAGUUGGUGGGAUAAAAGCUUACCAAGCCGACGAUCUGUAGCUGGUCUGAGAGGAAGAUCAGGCAAACUGGGACGGAGAGGCGGCCCAGACUCCUACGGGAGGCAGCAGUGGGGAAUUUUGGACAAUGGGCGCAAGCCUGAUCCAGCAAUGCCGCGUGCAGGAUGAAGGCCUUCGGGUUGUAAACUGCUUUUGUACGGAACGAAAAGCCCCGGGUUAAUACCCUGGGGUCAUGACGGUACCGUAAGAAUAAGCACCGGCUAACUACGUGCCAGCAGCCGCCGCCG
rnacentral:rRNA from 1 species